rnacentral:lncRNA from 1 species
UUGAGUUAGCCUACAAUCCAGGCUCUAACCACUUAGCCAAAUUAGGUCUUAACUUGAUCGAGUCACAUCUAAAUAUGAUUCGAUCUUGACCUAGACUUAAUCCUAUUAGGCUGGUCAAUUAUUAGCUUUCAUGAUCCCAUCUAACCAACUCUUGAUUCGGUUUGAUCAACUGCUAGACCUAAUUGAGCUACCCAAGUCCGAACCCAAUUUUAUGAAAAU